GGGAAGGUGGCUCAGUGGUAGAGUGCAUGCCUUGCAUACAUGAGGCCUGGGUUCGAUUCCUAGGACCCA
rnacentral:tRNA from 1 species